rnacentral:rRNA from 1 species
CACACAUGCAAGUCGAGCGGAGAAUGCGAGAUGUUUACAGUGAGCAUUCUUAGCGGCGGACGGGUGAGUAACACGUGGGUAACCUGCCUCAGAGUGGGGGAUAGCCUUUCGAAAGGAAGAUUAAUACCGCAUAAGCUUGUAGCAUCGCAUGGUGCAGCAAGAAAAGGAGCAAUCCGCUCUGAGAUGGACCCGCGGCGCAUUAGCUAGUUGGUGAGGUAACGGCUCACCAAGGCCACGAUGCGUAGCCGACCUGAGAGGGUGAUCGGCCACAUUGGAACUGAGACACGGUCCAGACUCCUACGGGAGGCAGCAGUGGGGAAUAUUGCACAAUGGGCGAAAGCCUGAUGCAGCAACGCCGCGUGAGUGAUGAAGGCUUUCGAGUCGUAAAGCUCUUUAAUCAGGGAUGAUAAUGACAGUACCUGAAAAACAAGCCACGGCUAACUACGUGCCAGCAGCCGCGGUAAUACGUAGGUGGCGAGCGUUGUCCGGAAUUACUGGGCGUAAAGGAUGCGUAGGUGGAUAUUUAAGUGGGAUGUGAAAUCCCCGGGCUCAACCCGGGAACUGCAUUCCAAACUGGGUAUCUAGAGUGCAGGAGAGGAAAGCGGAAUUCCUAGUGUAGCGGUGAAAUGCGUAGAUAUUAGGAGGAACACCAGUGGCGAAGGCGGCUUUCUGGACUGUAACUGACACUGAGGCAUGAAAGCGUGGGUA